rnacentral:rRNA from 1 species
AUUGAACGCUGGCGGCAUGCCUUACACAUGCAAGUCGAACGGCAGCACGGGUGCUUGCACCUGGUGGCGAGUGGCGAACGGGUGAGUAAUACAUCGGAACGUACCUUAUCGUGGGGGAUAACGCAGCGAAAGUUGCGCUAAUACCGCAUACGCCCUGAGGGGGAAAGCGGGGGACCGUAAGGCAUCGCGCGAUUAGCGCGGCCGAUGUCUGAUUAGCUUGUUGGUGAGGUAAAAGCUCACCAAGGCGAUGAUCAGUAGCUGGUCUGAGAGGACGAUCAGCCACACUGGGACUGAGACACGGCCCAGACUCCUACGGGAGGCAGCAGUGGGGAAUUUUGGACAAUGGGGGCAACCCUGAUCCAGCAAUGCCGCGUGAGUGAAGAAGGCCUUCGGGUUGUAAAGCUCUUUUGUCAGGGAAGAAACAGCAGCUCUAACACAGUCUGCGAAUGACGGUACCUGAAGAAUAAGCACCGGCUAACUACGUGCCAGCCGCCGCCGUAACAC